rnacentral:rRNA from 1 species
AGUCACUGACAUUAGAUACCCGGGUAGUCCUAGCCGUAAACGAUACUCGCUAGGUGUCGGCCACGGUGCGACCGUUGUCGGUGCCGUAGGGAAGCCGUGAAGCGAGCCACCUGGGAAGUACGGCCGCAAGGCUGAAACUUAAAGGAAUUGGCGGGGGAGCACAACAACGGGUGGAGCUUGCGGUUUAAUUGGACUCAACGCCGGGAAGCUUACCGGAUAAGACAGCGGAAUGAUUGCCGGGCUGAAGACCCUGCAUGACCAGCUG